ensembl:lncRNA novel transcript, antisense to PAIP2
UCAGUUCUACUAUUAUUUAUUUUUUUAAAUAUUUUUGAAAAAAUAUAAUUUUUUUACAAUAUUUUCAACUUAAACACUAUUCACACUGAACACGUAUGGCAGCUUAACCUACCCAAAUAUGAAGUUUAAGAAGCCAAAACUGUUCUAGCUUUGUUAAAAGUUGUGCUGCAGACUCUCGUGAUGGUUAACAAAGCAAGGAAAAGCACCACUCAAAUCAUGUUACAGUAUCUUUGUUCAGCUGGAUUAUGGGUUGGUAUUGGUCAUAUGUUAGACUCCAUACAGGCAUAGCUAUGAUGCAGUGAAUCCCUUAGAAGUUACAAUUCUCAAAUUACAUACUUCCUCAGAUGUAACAUUAGAACUCAAUAUUUCUAACAAUAACAUACCAGAAAAGGCUGGACUGGCACUCAUCUGCUGACUAACUUGUAGCCUCAGUAAUAUGACAUACUUGCCUUUAACAAAUUAUCUCAAAUUAACUAACAGACCUUCAGAAAAUGGAGAUUCUUUUUGAUGGGGACAUAAUCAAAUUUAAGUCUGAGAAAUAUGCUUAACAGUUGGAACUCAAAUUAAAUGUACUGAUUUUAAAGUUUAGACAUUAACAAGUGAUAGAUUAGCCUCAAAAAAAGACAAUUUGGUAAGGUCAUUAAACUGGUCUUGGAUUUGGUCC